UCGGACCCUUGUCAACUGCC
rnacentral:siRNA from 1 species